rnacentral:rRNA from 1 species
UACGAAGGGGGCUAGCGUUGUUCGGAUUUACUGGGCGUAAAGCGCACGUAGGCGGAUCGUUAAGUCGGGGGUGAAAUCCUGGAGCUCAACUCCAGAACUGCCUUCGAUACUGGCGAUCUUGAGUCCGGAAGGAGGUGAGUGGAACUCCUAGUGUAGAGGUGGAAUUCGUAGAUAUUAGGAAGAACACCAGUGGCGAAGGCGGCUCACUGGUCCGGUACUGACGCUGAGGUGCGAAAGCGUGGGGAGCAAACAGG